rnacentral:rRNA from 1 species
AACGAACGCUGGCGGCAGGCCUAACACAUGCAAGUCGAACGAACCCUUCGGGGUGAGUGGCGCACGGGUGCGUAACGCGUGGGAAUAUACCCUUAGGUAAGGAACAACGUUUGGAAACGAACGCUAAUACCUUAUAAUGACUUCGGUCCAAAGAUUUAUCGCCUAGGGAUUAGCCCGCGUCUGAUUAGUUAGUUGGUGAGGUAACGGCUCACCAAGACGAUGAUCAGUAGCUGGCCUGAGAGGAUGAUCAGCCACACUGGAACUGAGACACGGUCCAG